GCACGGCUUUGGCUGGACGGCAGGCCUGUCCCCCUGGGUCUCUCAGAUGCCCCGUGCCAGAGCAAACUGUGGCCUCGAACCAUUGCCUGACCUCUGCCCGGAGGCUGCAGGCAAUGAAGCAUGUUGCACAGGG